AGCAUAUCAAUAAGCGGAGGAAAAGAAACCAACAGGGAUUGCCCUAGUAACGGCGAAGUGAAGCGGCAACAGCUCAAAUUUGAAAUCUGGCCCUCGGGUCCGAAGUUGUAAUUUGUAGAGGAUGCUUUUGGUGCGGUGCCUUCCGAGUUCCCUGGAACGGGACGCCAUAGAGGGUGAGAGCCCCGUCUGGUUGGACACCAAUCCUCUGUAAAGCUCCUUCGACGAGUCGAGUAGUUUGGGAAUGCUGCUCUAAAUGGGAGGUAUAUGUCUUCUAAAGCUAAAUAUUGGCCAGAGACCGAUAGCGCACAAGUAGAGUGAUCGAAAGAUGAAAAGCACUUUGAAAAGAGAGUUAAAAAGUACGUGAAAUUGUUGAAAGGGAAGCGCUUAUGACCAGACUUGGGCUUGGUAGAUCAACCUGGGUUCUCCCUGGUGCACUCUUCCUCGUCCAGGCCAGCAUCAGUUCGCUGUGGGGGAUAAAGGCUUCGGGAAUGUGGCUCCCUCGGGAGUGUUAUAGCCCGUUGCGUAAUACCCUGUGGUGGACUGAGGUUCGCGUUCUGCAAGGAUGCUGGCGUAAUGGUCAUCAGUGACCCGUCUUGAAACACGGACCAAGGAGUCGUCUUCGUAUGCGAGUGUUCGGGUGUUAAACCCCUACGCGUAAUGAAAGUGAACGCAGGUGAGAGCUUCGGCGCAUCAUCGACCGAUCCUGAUGUUCUCGGAUGGAUUUGAGUAAGAGCAUACGGGGCCGGACCCGAAAGAAGGUGAACUAUGCCUGUAUAGGGUGAAGCCAGAGGAAACUCUGGUGGAGGCUCGCAGCGGUUCUGACGUGCAAAUCGAUCGUCAAAUAUGGGCAUGGGGGGCGAAAGACUAAUCGAACCUUCUAGUAGCUGGUUUCCGCG
rnacentral:rRNA from 1 species